UCCUGGCUCAGGAUGAACGCUAGCGGGAGGCCUAACACAUGACAAGCGAGGGUAUAUAUUUUUCGGAAUAUAGAGACCGGCGCACGGGUGCGUAACGCGUAUGUAACUUGCCUUAUAGAGGGGGAUAGCCCAGGGAAACUUGGAUUAAUACCUUAUGUUUUCCUUAGAUGGCAUCUGAUGAGGAACAAAGAUCCGUCGCUUGCGGAUGGGGAUGCGUCUGAUUAGUUAGUCGGCGGGGUAACGGCCCACCGAGACGACGAUCAGUAGGGGUUCUGAGAGGAAGGUCCCCCACAUUGGAACUGAGACACGGUCCAAACUCCUACGGGAGGCAGCAGUGAGGAAUAUUGGUCAAUGGGCGGAAGCCUGAACCAGCCAAGUAGCGUGAGGGAUGACUGCCCUAUGGGUUGUAAACCUCUUUUAUAAGGGAAUAAAAUACGGGACGUGUCCUGUUUUGCAUGUACCUUAUGGAUAAGGACCGGCUAAUUCCGUG
rnacentral:rRNA from 1 species